GAUGAACGCUGGCGGCGUGCUUAACACAUGCAAGUCGAACGAGAAAUGGAGACGGACACCUUCGGGCGGAAGGCUUCAUUUCGAGUGGCGGACGGGUGAGUAACGCGUGGUUAACCUGCCUCAUACAGGGGGAUAACAGUUGGAAACGACUGUUAAUACCGCAUAAGACCACAGCACCGCAUGGUGCGGGGGUAAAAACUCCGGUGGUAUGAGAUGGACCCGCGUUCGAUUAGCCAGUUGGCGGGGUAACGGCCCACCAAAGCGACGAUCGAUAGCCGAUCUGAGAGGAUGACCGGCCACAUUGGGACUGAGACACGGCCCAAACUCCUACGGGAGGCAGCAGUGGGGAAUAUUGCACAAUGGGGGAAAACCUGAUGCAGCGACGCCGCGUGAGUGAAGAAGUACUUCGGUAUGUAAAGCUCUAUCAGCAGGGAAGAAAAUGACGGUACCUGAGUAAGAAGCCCCGGCUAACUACGUG
rnacentral:rRNA from 1 species